rnacentral:rRNA from 1 species
GUGUCAGCCGCCGUGGUAAUACGUAGGGUGCAAGCGUUAAUCGGAAUUACUGGGCGUAAAGCGUGCGCAGGCGGUUAUGUAAGACAGGCGUGAAAUCCCCGGGCUUAACCUGGGAAUUGCGCUUGUGACUGCAUAGCUAGAGUAUGUCAGAGGGGGGUAGAAUUCCACGUGUAGCUGUGAAAUGCGUAGAGAUGUGGAGGAAUACCAAUGGCGAAGGCAGCCCCCUGGGAUAAUACUGAUGCUCAUGCACGAAAGCGUGGGGAGCAAACAGGAUUAGAAACCCCUGUAGUCC